GCUGGGCGUGGUGGCGGACGCCUGUAAUCCCAGCUACUCAGGAGGCUGAGGCAGGAGAAUCACUUGAACCCGGGAAGCAGAGGUUGCAGUGAGCCAAUGCACUCCAGCCUGGGUGACAGAGUGAGACUCUGUCUCAA
rnacentral:SRP_RNA from 1 species